GGGCCCGUAGUUCAGUUGGUUAGAACGCGCCGCUCAUAACGGUGUUGUCGCAGGUUCGAAUCCUGCCGGGCCCACCA
rnacentral:tRNA from 1 species